rnacentral:lncRNA from 1 species
GGACAAGGCAAUGUGUUGUGUUCUUGACCAAAACACUUCAUUUCACCCACGGGCAUAUGGUGUAGUGAUUAAGAGUGCAGGCUGCUAACUCCAAGAUUCUGAGUUCGAUUCCAAGCAGUGACCUGGUUAAUAAUAUCGAAAAAUACCUUAGGAAUAAGAACCCAGGUUCGAAAUUUCACCAAGACACCUGAUGAAGGCUGGAGGGUAUAUCAGCCAAAACAUUGUGUUAACAACAAACAAGAUGAGGACAAAUAUCCGUCAAAUGUAAAUAAUGUACAUAAUUCCUCAUCUCUUAAAUAUAGAACUAUACUUUAUUUCAUGUAGCUUCAGUCCACUCCGCUGGAAAAACUGAGUAAUCGUGUGAUGGACCGGUGUCCCGUCCAGGUUGGGGAUAUAUACGCCAUUGAAAUCAGGAAACUGACCCUUAUGAACCUGGGGCAAGGCUCAAGAAGGAAACAUUUAUGUAUUUGUCCAACCCAUGAUAGCCUCAUUGAAGGUGCAUGGCUCAGUGGUUAGAGUGUCAGGCUUACGAUCGUGAGGUUGUGAGUUCGAAUCUCGCACCGGGCUGCGUGUUGUGUUCUUUAUUUCAUGUUGCUCCAGUUCACUCAGCUGUAGAGAUGAGUUGCGACAUCACUGGUGCCAAGCUGUAUCCGCCUUUGAUAACAUCAGUGGUGUGGAGGAGGGAGGCUGGUAUGCAUGGGUGACUGCUGGUCUUCCAUAAACAACCUUGCCCGGACUUGUGCCUGUGAGGGUAACUUUCGAGGUGCAAUCCUAUGGUUAGUCAUUUCCGAAGGGGGUCUCAGCAGAUAACCUCAGAAAGAGGACAUAAAACCAACAUCUUGAAUGAAGCCCUUUUGACUCCUUAAUCUACAGACUAUUAAUGUCUGUUGAUCCCAUUCCAUAAUCAUAAUGGUUUUUAAUUUUAGACACAAGGCCUGCAAUUUUGGGGUAGAGUUGAUAACAUCACCCAAAGUAUGUAACUGAUACUUUACGCAGUUAAAGAUGCAUCUUUGAAAAUGUGGUGGAGUCAUGGUUGGAAGUUCUUUCAUCAUAGAUAUGCUGAAUUCGUAAUCAAAACACAAUGAUACUGGGAGCGGGGUGGGCUGGGUUUACUACAUUUGACAAUUUUGAUAGUUCAUUGUUUUGAAUGGAUUGAAAACCUUUUGUGAUCCUGGAAGUAUCCAUGGGAACUUAUUCCAAGUUUAUUCAGGUCAGAUCUCGAAGACUGUUUUAGGUGAAACCUACAGAAGGGCACAUUUGUAGUGCUACCUCUGCUGCUGCUUCCACUACUACUACUACUACUACAUGCAUUCAAUGUCACCAUCCAGAGAAAGGUCACUCAUCUGCCCACUACAAUAUCUUGUCCACCAGCAUGCUGUAUCCUCUCACUUCUUUUCCUACUGUUACUACAAUGGUCUCUGCUCUUUGGUACUAACUGGUCUUGUACCAUCUCCACUCUGGCUCUUACUCUUUCAUCUCCAAUGUUAUGUGUAACUAGAAACCAUGCCAAAACAUGUGACUGGGGCCUGGUGCUGCUCUCUGGUUCGCCAACUCCUGUCAAAUCGUCUAACAUAGAAAAUCUGUUAUAUGGUAAUGAUGAGAGUCACCAUCACUACACCAUUAAUGACUAAAACCAGUCCUUCCUCCCCAAAUUGUCAUCCUACUAGAAAUACCUCCAAACUCACGUUUUUCUUGUAGUUGUCAACUGAUGACAAUUUCUGUAGAACAUUAACAGUAUCAUUCUCACCCACCUUGGACAACCAGCAAAGACAUUGGGCCUUGAUUGUUCUGAAGAUAUACUUACAAAAACAAAAAAUGAGUUAUAGUACAUGCUUACCUCCCUUGCUUUCUUGUUUUAAACAUAUUUCUUUUACUAAUUUUCCAUCCAUCUUCUCUGCCUACAAUUCUUGGAAGGGGAGUCGGGGGCAGGGUGUCAAGUCUUCAGAUAUCACUUUUGUGGGGUUCUGUCAGGAGCAAUGGUCAUUACACUUUGUGGCUGGGUUCAUAAGUAUGACCAUCUGAUAUGUCCUCCAACCAUCUUCCACACAUCUUGCCAAUGAACAUAACUCAGAGGAACCCCAUUUCGGCCACUUGUAUUCAUGAUCGCCCUUUCGGUCAUUACCCAAUAUUCAUGACCAGAGGCAAGGACAAGCAUGAAAACCGAAUUGAAGAAAGUAAGUUUGGCUUUUUUACCAACCUCUCUUCUUUUGAAGAUGGAAUGCUGGAAUUGGCUCAUUACUGAGCCAACACUUGUAAUUCUAGCAUCCAAUUUAGCCUCCUGCUUCCCAUCACUUGUGAAUAUGACCCUGAGAUACUGAAACUUCUCCGUGUCUUGGUGAUGUGUCACUAAUAUGCAGAGUGCGCACUGAGAUGAGGUUCUCAAGAGGACCAAUGUCUCAGUCAUCAAAACACACAUUCUCGUCCCUAUUUUGCAGCACUCAAAACAAUGAACCCAUUGAAAGUAUCCUUCUGAUGGACCAAGUAGCACCAUGUUGUCUGCCGAGAUCAGCCAAGUGUGAUCCCACACUCGCUGAUUGUGAUACCACUUCCACAAUGGCUGCACACAUCAACCCACUUCAUAAAAAAUUAUGAAAAGGAGAGUUGACAAUACACAUCCCUAGCAAAAUCCAACACCCACAUUGAAAGGUUUUGACUUAGCACCAUUUAUCUGAAUACGAACAUCUGGGAAUUGGUAAAGUGACUUCACAGCAACCAGAAUUUGCCCGUUAAUCCCAAACUCCUGCAAAACCCUCCACAGCAUGUCUCAAUGUCAUAUGCCUUUUUAAGGUCCAUAAAGCAAGAGCACACCUCUUGGCAGAAUUGUUAGCACGCUGGAUGAAAAUGGUUAUGUUCUGAGUUCAAAUUCUGCCGAGGCCAACUUUGCCUUUCAUCCUUUUGGGGUCGAUUAACUAAGUACCAGCUAUGCACUGGAGUCAAUGUAAUCGACUUAAUCCCCUAGUUUGUCCCCUCUAUGUUUAGUCCCCUGUGGGCAAUAAAGAAACAAAUAUUUCACAUUUUCUUAAAGAUUUACUAUAAAGUAAAUAUCUGGUCAGUUGUGCUUUGACUAUGAUGGAUGCCACACUGUUCUUCAGCAAACCUGGGUAUGACAAUUUCCCUAUAUCUUAUUUCCAGACACCUAGCCGAAAUUUUAUCAGAGAGGCUCAACAAGGAGAUCCCUCUAUAAAUAGGGCACUCUCUCUUGUCUCCCUUGUUGUAAAAAUUAGAAUUAUCAUCUGACAUUGUUGUUACUUUGAUAUCUUUCCAGAGGUCCAAGCCACCAGGCAUUCACAAGUCAGCUAAAGGAUACCUUCUCUAUUUAAGACUCAGGUCAAAUUCCAUUCUCUCCAGCAGCCAUAUCUGAACACUUUAAUUGCCUCUGUGACUUCAACCUCUGUAGGGUUAGUCUUCAACCUUGGAUGCACCUCAUGUCUAUCAGAAGAUUUUAUCGUGACUGGAUUUAGGAGACCAGCAAAAUAUUCUCUCCACCUCCCAAACAUGCUCUUCUCUGUAAAGAGAAUCCCAACCAAGUUCUUAAUUUUUGGAAGAGGGCUUCAUGUUACAAAGACAGCAAAUAGUUUGUCAGAAUAUUUUAUUGACCAAUCUAAAGCUAGUGUCCAGCUUCACCUCAAAGUCCUCCCAUGACUUAGCCUUUGACAUUUUUAUUCGGUAUACUGCCUGCACCAAAAAGGGAGACUUGUUUCCAAACCAAGCUUUGUAAGCUUCCUUCUUUGCCCACAUGAUAUUUUUAAUUUUCUGAUUAACCCAUUAACUGUCAAAUUUAUUUAUUUAUUGGCUUUGCCAGGUGACUUAGAAGUUAAAAUAAUAUAUAGUAAAUUGGUGAGCUGGCAGAAUCGUUAGCAAGCCGGGCGAUAUACUUAACGGUAUUUUGUCUAUCUUUAUGUUCUGAGUUCAAAUUCUGCUGAGGUCGGCUUUGCCUUUCAUCCUUUUGGGGUCGAUAAAUUAAGCACUAGUUAUGUACUGAGGGUCGAUCUAAUCGACUGGCCCCUUACCCCAAAAUUUCAAGCCUUGUGCCUAGAGUAGAAAAGGAUAUAUAGUAUUUAAAUUUUCAUCAUAUGUGAAUUAUUUUGGAAAUGAUAAAUUUUUCGGAAAGUCCCAAAUGGGGAUCACU